AAUCAUUUCAUGUGACCAAAAGAAAGGGAAAAACCAGAUGUGGAUAAACCCCAGAAGUCUCUACUGCACUUCUCCUGUCCCUCACUGAACCAGAAGCCAGAGCCUACUGACAUAGCUGGAAUCUACUCUACAAGGUGUGAAAGACAAAAUACACCAGUUUUCACAGGAACAUUCUACUUUCAAAUGGUGGGGGAAACCUGGACUCAAAAAGAAUCAAACUCCUCACGGUACCAUUAGUGGACAAGAGUCUGGAACACAGGAUCGGGAGUCAGCUGUAUCAAUUGGCCCUGCAGUCACCAGUGAGGAACGGAGCACAGUGUGUCAACACAGGGGUAUGGUUACUUGAGUGGAGUAAAAGAGAAUCUGAAGGAGAAACCCAAUCUAGGAGUCAAGGCCCCUGUCAAAGAAAAAAACGCACUGGACG